GACGAACGCUGGCGGCGUGCUUAACACAUGCAAGUCGAACGAGCGGCGAACGGGUGAGUAAUACGUGAGUAACCUGCCCUCUUUUUGGGAUAAGCCUUGGAAACGGGGUCUAAUACCGGAUACAGGGGGAUGGGCUCGCGGCCUAUCAGCGUGUUGGUGGGGUGAUGGCCUACCAAGGCGGUGACGGGUAGCCGGCCUGAGAGGGUGACGUGCGACAGUGGGACGGAGAAAGGGCCCGGGGUCUUACGGGGGGCGGCAGUUGGGGAAAUUGCACAAAGGGCGAAGGGCGGAUGCGGCGAGGCCGCGUGGGGGAUGAAGGCUUUAGGGUUGUAAGCCUCUUUCGCUAUCGAAGGGUAGGGGGAGAAGAAGCGCCGGCUAACUACGUGCCAGCAGCCGCGGUAAUUC
rnacentral:rRNA from 1 species